rnacentral:rRNA from 1 species
UACAGAGGUCUCAAGCGUUGUUCGGAUUCAUUGGGCGUAAAGGGUGCGUAGGUGGCAUGGUAAGUCGGAUGUGAAAUCCCGGGGCUCAACCCCGGAACUGCAUUCGAUACUGCUGCGCUAGAGUACUGGAGAGGAGAUUGGAAUUUACGGUGUAGCAGUGAAAUGCGUAGAGAUCAUGAGGAAGACCAGUGGCGAAGGCGGGUCUCUGGACAGUUCCUGACACUGAGACACGAAGGCCAGGGGAGCAAACGGG